rnacentral:tRNA from 1 species
GUGGGUAUAGCUCAGUGGUAGAGCACAUGCUUAGCAUGCAGGAUGUCCUGCCUGGUUUCAAUCCCAGUUACCUCCA